UGUGGGGGCCUUCGGGAGGCAGCAGUGGGGAAUAUUGCACAAUGGGCGAAAGCCUGAUGCAGCGACGCCGCGUGAGGGAUGACGGCCUUCGGGUUGUAAACCUCUUUCAGUAGGGAAGAAGCGAAAGUGACGGUACCUGCAGAAGAAGCGCCGGCUAACUACGUGCCAGCAGCCGCGGUAAUACGUAGGGCGCAAGCGUUAUCCGGAAUUAUUGGGCGUAAAGAGCUCGUAGGCGGUUUGUCGCGUCUGCCGUGAAAGUCCGGGGCUCAACUCCGGAUCUGCGGUGGGUACGGGCAGACUAGAGUGAUGUAGGGGAGACUGGAAUUCCUGGUGUAGCGGUGAAAUGCGCAGAUAUCAGGAGGAACACCGAUGGCGAAGGCAGGUCUCUGGGCAUUAACUGACGCUGAGGAGCGAAAGCAUGGGGAGCGAACAGGAUUAGAUACCCUGGUAGUCCAUGCCGUAAACGUUGGGCACUAGGUGUGGGGGACAUUCCACGUUUUCCGCGCCGUAGCUAACGCAUUAAGUGCCCCGCCUGGGAGA
rnacentral:rRNA from 1 species